UACGUAGGUGGCAAGCGUUGUCCGGAUUACUGGGCGUAAAGAGCGCGCAGGCGGUCGUUCAAGUCGCGUGUGAAAGCCCCGGCUCAACUGGGGAGGGUCACGCGAUACUGAUCGACUCGAAGGCAGGAGAGGGUAGUGGAAUUCCCGGUGUAGUGGUGAAAUGCGUAGAUAUCGGGAGGAACACCAGUGGCGAAGGCGACUACCUGGCCUGUUCUUGACGCUGAGGCGCGAAAGCUAGGGGAGCAAACGGG
rnacentral:rRNA from 1 species